rnacentral:lncRNA from 1 species
GAGCCUAUCUAUAAUAGCACCUACCGCCUAUGUGAUGUUGCAAUGCUGGUUGUUAACAGGUAUAGACCAAGAUGUAAGGACAUAGAUACUUUUCUUCACACCAGUUUUGCUGAUGUUGUUGGUGUGUGUGGCCAUCCAAAUAUCACCUGCAACAACAUGAUGAAAAAUAACUGUCAUACAAGUUCAUUUCUGGUAUCUGUAACUUUUUGUAACCUCACUACUCUGAAAAGAAUUUACACCCAAUGCAGAUACCAAUGACAGGAUCAGUGAAGUACAACAAAGUGGCCUGUAAGCCCAGAACUCCACAGGACACUCCCAUCUAUCCAGUGAUUCCAGUUCACUUGGAUGGGACAU